UGGUAAUGCCGGAUGCUCCAUCACACCGCAUGGUGUGUUGGGAAAGCCUUUGCGGCAUGGGAUGGGGUCGCGUCCUAUCAGCUUGAUGGCGGGGUAACGGCCCACCAUGGCUUCGACGGGUAGCCGGCCUGAGAGGGCGACCGGCCACAUUGGGACUGAGAUACGGCCCAGACUCCUACGGGAGGCAGCAGUGGGGAAUAUUGCACAAUGGGCGCAAGCCUGAUGCAGCGACGCCGCGUGAGGGAUGGAGGCCUUCGGGUUGUAAACCUCUUUUGUUAGGGAGCAAGGCACUUUGUGUUGAGUGUACCUUUCGAAUAAGCACCGGCUAACUACGUGCCAGCAGCCGCGGUAAUACGUAGGGUGCAAGCGUUAUCCGGAAUUAUUGGGCGUAAAGGGCUCGUAGGCGGUUCGUCGCGUCCGGUGUGAAAGUCCAUCGCUUAACGGUGGAUCCGCGCCGGGUACGGGCGGGCUUGAGUGCGGUAGGGGAGACUGGAAUUCCCGGUGUAACGGUGGAAUGUGUAGAUAUCGGAAA
rnacentral:rRNA from 1 species